rnacentral:rRNA from 1 species
AGUGAACGCUGGCGGUAGGCCUAACACAUGCAAGUCGAACGGCAGCACAGUAAGAGCUUGCUCUUACGGGUGGCGAGUGGCGGACGGGUGAGGAAUACAUCGGAAUCUACUUUUUCGUGGGGGAUAACGUAGGGAAACUUACGCUAAUACCGCAUACGACCUACGUGUGAAAGCAGGGGAUCUUCGGACCUUUCGCGAUUGAAUGAGCCGAUGUCGGAUUAGCUAGUUGGCGGGGUAAAGGCCCACCAAGGCGACGAUCCGUAGCUGGUCUGAGAGGAUGAUCAGCCACACUGGAACUGAGACACGGUCCAGACUCCUACGGGAGGCAGCAGUGGGGAAUAUUAGACAAUGGGCGCAAGCCUGAUCCAGCCAUACCGCGUGGGUGAAGAAGGCCUUCGGGUUGUAAAGCCCUUUUGUUGGGAAAGAAAAGCAGCAGGUUAAUACCCCGCUGUUCUGACGGUACCCAAAGAAUAAGCACCGGCUAACUUCGUG